rnacentral:rRNA from 1 species
GACGAACGCUGGCGGCGUGCCUAAUACAUGCAAGUAGAACGCUGAAGAGAGGAGCUUGCUCUUCUUGGAUGAGUUGCGAACGGGUGAGUAACGCGUAGGUAACCUGCCUUGUAGCGGGGGAUAACUAUUGGAAACGAUAGCUAAUACCGCAUAACAAUGGGUGACACAUGUCAUUUAUUUGAAAGGGGCAAUUGCUCCACUACAAGAUGGACCUGAGUUGUAUUAGCUAGUAGGUGAGGUAAUGGCUCACCUAGGCGACGAUACAUAGCAGACCUGAGAGGGUGAUCAGCCAAACUGGGACUUAGACGCCGCUCAAACUGCUACUGGAGGCAGCAGUAGGGCAUCUUCGGCAAUGGGGGCAACACUGACCGAGCAACGCCGCGAGAGUGUAGAAGAGUUUCGGAUCGUAAAGCUCUGUUGUACGUCAAGAACGGGUGUGAGAGUGGAAAGUUCACACUGUGACGGUAGCUUACCAGAAAGGGACGGCUAACUACGUG